GUAGGGGCCGAACGUUGUCCGGAUUUAUUGGGCGGUAAAGGGCUCGUAGGCGGGUUGACAAGUCGGGUCGUGAAAACCCGGGGCUCAACCCCGGGACGCCGGUCGAAACUGUCAUGACUAGGGUCCGGUAGAGGUGAGUGGAAUUCUCGGUGUAGCGGUGAAAUGCGCAGAUAUCGAGAGGAACACCAGUAGCGAAGGCGGCUCACUGGGCCGGUACCGACGCUGAGGAGCGAAAGCGUGGGGAGCAAACAGGAUUAGAUACCCUGGUAGUCCACGCCGUAAACGUUGAACACUAGGUGUGGGGGACUUAUCCACGUCUCCCGUGCCGCAGCUAACGCAUUAAGUGUUCCGCCUGGGGAGUACGGCCGCAAGGCUA
rnacentral:rRNA from 1 species